UCUGGAAACCAUAGAGCUGUGGUACCACCUGAUCCCAUUCCGAACUCAGAAGUGAAACACAGUAUCGCCGAUGGUAGUGUGGGGUCUCCCCAUGUGCGAGUAGGUCAUUUCCAGGC
rnacentral:rRNA from 1 species